UGUUAAGAAACCCUCCCAUUAGUUAUCUAUUCAUAUGUCAGAAUAACUCCGUCGACGUUUUUUCGUGACUUCUUUCAUCGUCCCGAGUAAGUCAGUUAUCGAUUGUUCUGCCUUUCUGUCAUACCUCGACAGGGCCUUCUGCCUGAAUCCUGGUGCCGACCCGUCUGGAUUGCUUCGAGACGUGGUCUGUUCUGAAAUCUGACAAUAAUAUAGAGCAACCCGUCCCGAUUUUCAGUCCUCAUACCAAAACAACGUCAACUCGGACUCCAUAACUCUCCUUACUUAAAAAUCACCGUCCUCCCACCGCUUAACACAGCCAAUUAGAAUAGUUGGGAUCUUUCUACGAUCUUCCAGGAAGAACCACCCCCAUCGAGAGGCACAACAUCGGGAUUGGGAUUGGGGCCCAAGUGCCACCCCACCCCAUUGUGUGGCUGAUCAUGAAGACAUUCUUCAUUGCCUUUAGAUAUCGACUGGUACGGAUCCUUCUACGACAAUAGGAAGGAUUGGUGGUGGCAUAAUAGCCAGGAAACAGAAAGCCUCAGUUAUCGUCGAACCUUCAAAUACGCAUAUCCAUACACACACAAUAUUUUACGACAUUUGCAUGCAUUUCGCCACUUGAAUUUACUGUUUUCUCUCUAAUAAUGGACGGGGCCCCCCCCCCUCCUCCACCUCACGGUACU
rnacentral:sRNA from 2 species